rnacentral:lncRNA from 1 species
AACCACACUGCGCCAAACCUUAAAGAUCUUUUUUCUCGGAGAAAUGCAUCGCAGAAUAUUUAUGAUUUACGCAAUAGCGAAACUGAUCUCUCGUUAAAAAAACCGAAAACGGAAUUUCUAAAGAAAACAUUUGGAUACAGUGGAGCAAUUCUAUGGAAUAGUCUGCCGCAAGAUGUCAAGGCGGCUGAGUCAAUUACGUCAUUUAAAACAAUGGCGAAAUUGCAUUUAAGCAGAUGAUAAGCUAAUUUCUCCAGGACCAAAUGAUGGGAGGACAAAAUAGAUUGUGGGCGGGAGGGGGGUUAGUUUUGCGUGAGGGUGGGUGGG